GUGGAACUUGUUCAGUUUAUGUGUCAGAUAUUGAAUCUUAUGUUCAUACAAAUAUUUACACGUUAAGUUGGCUGAAAAUGCAGUUGACAGUGAGAGGACGUUUCUUUUUUUGCAGAGUUUAUAUUAUUAUUGUUUAAACCUGAGACGUGACGGUGUGCGUCUGAGUGACGAAGGGAGACGGAGGGGGAGUGAGAUAGCAACCAAAUCGGCUCAUGUUGACUCUUGGACCGUAACUGAGGACACCCUGGCCUGAUUCCUAGACGUGCCUGGCCCAAUCCCACCUGGCCUCCUUCUACCUGCCUGUUGGUGGCCUGAUUCCUAGACGUGCCUGGGCCAAUCCCACCUGGCCUCCUUCUACCUGCCUGUUGGUGUCCUGAUUCCUAGACGUGCCUGGGCCAAUCCCACCUGGCCUCCUUCUACCUGCCUGUUGGUGUCCUGAUUCCUAGACGUGCCUGGGUCAAUCUCACCUGGCCUCCUUCUACCUGCCUGUUGGUGUCCUGAUUCCUAGACGUGCCUGGGCCAAUCCCACCUGGCCUCCGUCUACCUGCCUGUUGGUGUCCUGAUUCCUAGACGUGCCUGGGUCAAUCUCACCUGGUCUCCUUCUACCUGCCUGUUGGUGGCCUGAUUCCUAGACGUGCCAGUGCCAAAUUUCUCCUGGCCUCCUUCUACCUGCCU
rnacentral:lncRNA from 1 species